GUCCAGGUGGAUGGAAUGGAAGACACGCCGCGCUCAGACCGCGGUGCCCAGUCGGGCGUGCGGGUUCGACUCCCGCCCUGGAUA
rnacentral:tRNA from 1 species